rnacentral:rRNA from 1 species
UACAGGGGGUGCAAACGUUGCUCGGAAUUAUUGGGCGUAAAGCGCGCGUAGGCGGCUACUUAAGUCGGAUGUGAAAGCCCCUGGCUUAACUGGGGAAGUGCACCCGAAACUGAGUAGCUAGAGUACGAAAGAGGGUCGCGGAAUUCCCGGUGUAGAGGUGAAAUUCGUAGAUAUUGGGAAGAACACCAGUGGCGAAGGCGGCUCACUGGCCCGUAACUGACGCUGAGGUGCGAAAGCGUGGGGAGCAAACAGG